AUAUUCAGCGGGCCGGCGCAAGCCGGCUAUGGCGAUAAAUGGCUAUCGGAAUAAACCCAUCGGACCCGGGGGCGGUACCCGGCGCCUCCACCCCAGCCGGUUGCGCGACGGCGCGAGCCGGCUGCGGCGGGGGCGAAAUAGGAUCGACGAGGGCGUAAAGGAUGUGCUUUCGCUCGGCAUGGUUCCGCCGUUAUCGGGCCAUUAGUGUAGUUGCGAAUGACAACUAUGCGCCGGUUGCUCAGGCCGCGUGACGCGGUUUGAAAGACCACUCAAAGUCCUAGUGCCUUGCGCGUACUAGGCGGGGUUCGGAGGCACCUGGCAACAGAAGCCUCCACUCACGCC
rnacentral:tmRNA from 1 species